GGGGAGGCGGGGUCGGAGGGGCAGCCUGUGAGCGGAGCGGUUUCCGCGGGGCCCCCUGCCCGCGCCCCGCGCUCAGCCCAGGUCGCCGCGCCUCCCGUCCGCGGGCACAGCCUGCGAGCCGAGCCCCCAGGGAAGCAGCGCGGGGACCGUGAGCUCCUUGCGGGAAAGGAGGACGACAUAAAUGCUGAGAAGCCUUGUUCACAUAGUAAUUGGGAAAGGAAGAGAUCUGUUACAAUGAUAUUCCUCCAGUCUGAACUACUUCCGAGUCACAUGCCAACAAUCACAGAGUGUCCUACUACCAAAUACUAUUAUCAGAACCUGGUUUCUGUCCUGCAGAGCUACAUAUAUAGUCUUUCUCCUGGGGAGUGACAGCAGCACUUUCAACAUGGUAAUGCCUGCUGCUCUUCCUCACUCGGCUGUGUCCACUAGCCCAGUGGUGUGGG